GCGAGUCAGGUGUCUUCGGACGCCGGCAUACGGCUCAGUAACACGUAGGUAACCUACCCUCAGGACUGAGAUAACCCCGGGAAACUGGGGCUAAUAUUAGAUAGAUAAAAGAUACUGGAAUGUUCUUUUACUCAAAGCUUUUGCGCCUGAGGAUGGGCCUGCGUCCGAUUAGGUUGUUGGUGGGGUAAUGGCCCACCAAGCCUAUGAUCGGUACGGGCAGUGGGAGCUGAAGCCCGGAGUUGGGGACUGAGACAAGGCCCCAGGCCCUACGGGGCGCAGCAGGCGCGAAACCUCUGCAAUGCGGGAAACCGUGACAGGGGAAUUCCAAGUGCUCAUGCAUUGCAUGGGCUGUUCUUUGGUCUAAGUAACCAGAGGAGUAAGGGCUGGGCAAGACCGGUGCCAGCCGCCGCGGUAAUACCGGCAGCUCAAGUGGUAGCCGCGAUUAUUGGGCCUAAAGCGUUCGUAGCCGGAUAAGUAAGUCUUUGGUUAAAUCCUGCGACUUAACCGUGGGAAAUCUGGCAGCUCAACUGUCAGGCUGCUAGGGGAUACUGCUUGGCUUGGGACCGGGAGAGGUGAGAGGUACCUUGAGGGUAGGGGUGAAAUCUUGUGAUCCUCGGGGGACCACCAGUGGCGAAGGCGUCUCACCAGAACGGGUCCGACGGUAAGGGACGAAAGCUAGGGGCACGAACCGGAUUAGAUACCCGGGUAGUCCUAGCCGUAAACGAUGCUCGCUAGGUGUCAGUCACGGUGCGACCGCGAUUGGUGCCGUAGGGAAGCCGUGAAGCGAGCCACCUGGGAAGUACGGCCGCAAGGCUGAAACUUAAAGGAAUUGGCGGGGGAGCACUACAACGGGUGGAGCCUGCGGUUUAAUUGGAUUCAACGCCGGAAAUCUCACCGGGGGCGACAGCAAUAUGAAGGUCAGGCUGAAGACCUUACCGGAUUAGCUGAGAGGUGGUGCAUGGCCGUCGUCAGUUCGUACUGUGAAGCAUCCUGUUAAGUCAGGCAACGAGCGAGACCCACGUCCACAGUUGCCAGCAUACCCUCCGGGGUGAUGGGUACACUGUGGAGACCGCCGCUGCUAAAGCGGAGGAAGGAAUGGGCAACGGUAGGUCAGUAUGCCCCGAAUCUCCCGGGCUACACGCGGGCUACAAUGGUUGGUACAAUGGGCAUCUACCCCGAAAGGGGAAGGAAAUCUCUUAAAGCCAAUCGUAGUUCGGAUUGAGGGCUGCAACUCGCCCUCAUGAAGCUGGAAUCCGUAGUAAUCGCGUUUCAACAGAACGCGGUGAAUACGUCCCUGCUCCUUGCACACACCGCCCGUCAAACCACCCGAGUAGGGUCUGGAUGAGGGUGUGUUUACUUUGACA
rnacentral:rRNA from 1 species